GUUCAUCGCUCAUGGAUACAAUGCUAUGUCUCCCUUCUUCCUGCACGCUCCCUUUCACUCUAAGCUUUUGUAUGACAUUUUUUGUUUGCAUUAUUUUUCUCUGCACAGGUUUCUUGGAAUAUAAGCCUCCAUUUGUCUUUGGUUUAGACAUAUUUAGAAAGGCUUGCGUGUGACUGAAAGCACAUGCUCCAAGCCGGGGGAGUCAGUCGACUGUGUUUCAAGGCAUCCUUUGUCUCUGGCCUUGACUGAUCUAACAUUGUGAUAACAACCACAGAUUGAAAAUAGUUAACACGAAGAACACAGCAUUUCCCUUGUUUAAGAUAACUUUACUCUCUCAUUGGGAAUGAAAGACACAGUGAGGCAUGUAUUUGAAGUCUGAUAACUGCAACAAGGGACAGGAUAAGUAGGCUAGGCCUAGUUUUUACAUCAAGUAGGUCGGUAGGCCUAAAUGUCACCACAAUUAUCUUCUUUAGCAUUGGCAACAACAGCUGAGGAGAGGAAGCUAACAGCUUUGUGCCUCCUCUCUGGCGUAGCAGCAUUUCCAUAUCUAAGGCCAGGCCUCAGUGGCUUUCUGUUGACAUUUACAAUCAUCUCUCUUGAGGAGUUUCCUCUGACACCCUCCUGAUCUUUCCAUCUCCCUGUUUGCUGUGAAUUAUCAAUGGGGGACGGCUCCCUGUGAAAACAGCCUUCUAACGGCAACAACAACCUCCAACACAAUCCACACUGACUCACUGACCGCCUUUCCUUCAGCGCUGUCUAGUUCGGUGCUUUUGUUUUGUAUAUUGCAACAGUCCUAGGAAUGUAUUGAGCCAUGCUACCAAUACAGUGCGAGACCCCUUUCCCUAGCCCAAACAAACAGCAUAUCAUCAUAGAAAGUGUUUAUGUAGUGUUGGCAAAACAUUACAUGGAGAUAAGGGAUUGGAGAUUGAAUGGGAUCAUACCUGCAUCCAACCCACAACAGCCAGCCAGGGCCUAAUGUGAUGCCUCACGCUGCCUUUCCUGCUGCAGAGAGCACAGAGACAGUCAAAGAGACGGCUUCCGCCAAGACCAGCAAAACCACAAGCAGCAGCAGAAAUCACCCCCUCCUCUUCCUCCCUGCGUCUCCAUGUCUCAGGAAGGGGUGGCCAUGGUCCCCCCUCCAGCCAGGCCAACCUCCACCCUGCUCCAGCCGUGCCACUCCAUUUCUGAGGAUGCUCAGAGGGUCCUCCGGAAGGUCUAAUGACAUGAGAAUGUUUAACCCUCUCCUGCAACAGGUAACACACACAUACACUGUCUGGAGCCAUGCUCUGACGUACCUCUCACUCACGCAGACUGAUGUGUUGGCACAGGAUCAAAAAUAUGUUAUGGCCAUAUCUCCACUUUAUCAACAUAUGUCAUGAUAAUAAGGAUUACUACUUGAAUUAAUGGUUUAAAUGUUUGAGGUAACUCCCUUCCAGCACCAGAAUGUAACACCGCCAUGUGAAGAUAGCAAUUCAAAAAGAAUAACAAUUCUACAGCACUACAGCAUGUUCAUUUCAGCAAAUCUAUUCUUGGAGAAACUUGCUCAAUUUAAUAAAUACCCUUGCAACAUUUUGGGUUGUUGUUGUGAAGUGGAAAAUGUGCAGAGGGCAAAUUGGGAGAAUUCAAGGCAGUGACUGCCUGCGCUGAGCUCUAUUGUGGAGAGCUGAGAGCUGCGUCUCUCCUGUUGAUUGACAGCUGGCCUCGGAGCACACUGGAGGCAGCAGAGGGCUAAGCCAAAUGGAACAAUCACUGUGACAGGCAGCUGUCAGUGGGGAGGAGACGACGAGUGCGUCCCAAAUGACACCCCAUCGCCUAUAUAGUGCAUGGGUCCUGAUCAAAAAUACCGCACUCUUUAAGGAAUAGGGUGCCAUUUGGGACGCAGACGACUGCUGCCCUGCCAGCUCUCAGCCUCUCUCCGCACAACC
rnacentral:lncRNA from 8 species